GCGCAUUGGCCGAAGGGUUGCGUCAAUCAUUCUACAAGGCAGAGGCGGAGCAGGCGGGGGAGCAAAGCUCUCCGCGCAGAAGGGGUGGGGUGAGAAGAGAGGAAAGGCAAGGAUGGGUUCGUUCCCCCUUGUCUCAUUGCUGAGUUUUUAUUGGCUUGCAGAAUCCUGACAAGGCGAUGUUGUUUACACCGAACGGCCUAAUGAUUGGGCAGUACAGACGUCCAUCUGCGGAAAGUUCAGGAGCUUGGGUCUGGAUGGAGAAGGUAGUAGUUACUCCUGGUUGAUUCAAAUGAAAAAGAUAAUCUGUGAUAGUAGGGACUUCUGGUGAAGUUGUUAAAAAGUUCGUGUUACAUGAUGCCUAGAGAAGAUAAGAGCAUACAAAAUUAGUCUCUCAUCAUCAUGUGCAGAAAAGCUUCUUAUGAAACAAAACCAUGAAUAUAUUGCUGAUGCUUUAUUUUAAAAAUAUUUAUUAGUUAUUUGACAACUUGCAUGGUCAAAUAUCCUCAUGCCUCUUAACCUUAUAAAAAUUGGAGACUGUUAGAUCAUAAACAACCCUACAUAAUGAGGCUAUUAUCACGAGCGAGCAAAACCGGGCUAAGGCAGCAAGCCUGCCUAAGAAGCCACCCCCUUAAAUGAGGUUAAUGGAGUGAGCACUCCGUUAAUCUCGUUUUUCGGAUUGUGUGUCUGCUGUGGCUGCUUACAGCCACGGCAACACACUCGAGGGGUGGGGGAUCCUAGAAAUGCACCACACUUGUGUAGUGCAUUACUGAAGCUCCGGGGUGUGUGAUCCGCCCACCCAGCGAUGGUGAGUGUCAGUCAGUUUCAGUCAGUCAGUGCUUGUUUGCAGGGAGGGUUGGGCAAACCCGUUCUCCAUGCAGACUGCUGAGAAGCUCUUCUCACUGAUUGUGAGAAGAGCUUCAAUAUGUGAAUAAGUAGCUACAAUACCCCAACCCCACCUGUUCUGUGAGUACAUAUAUCAUGCAUUCAGUGCCUAAUCUUGCUAAAUCAACACAUAUCUCCUAUUCAGAACCAGCUGUGAAGUUACUUUUAAUGUUUAAAAGAAGUUUAAAGAAGCUACAGAAGUUUCAUGCUGGUGUUUAAUCCAGAGUAGCUUUCACCACUUAACUACAAUGCUGAAGAAUGUACCAAUUUGAAAAGGGUCAGGUUUAUCUGCUUUAGUUUAUUAAUUGUCAGCAAAAUAUAAAACAAAAGCACAAAUUGAACAUUGUGGUUGUCAGAACAAAACUCAUUCUGCACACAUGAAAAAGAUUAGAGAGAACACUGGUGUACAGUCUAAAACACAACAAUUAAAACAUUAACACAAAACAAUUUAAAAUAUAGAUAAAAUUCUAAAACUUAAAACAUUUAAAACUAUACAUUAAAAACUUGUUAAACAAGUAUGUUUUCAGAUUUUUCUUAUAAACAUCCAGAAAAGGAAGUUCCUAAUUUUGUUAGGAAGUCCUAGGGCAACCCUAGAAAAGGCCCAGUUUCGAGUCGCCAUCAACCAAGCCGUUGGUAACUGCAACUGGACCUCCCAUGAUAAUCUUAAUAAGUGGCAGGGCUCAUGAAGAAGGUGGUGUUCUCUUUUAUUUUAUUUUAAAUAUCACUGUGUUUUUUUAAUUGUGUUUGUUACCUUUUAUUUUCAAACUAUGUUAACCAAGUCCUCAGGAGGGUGUGGGCUAGAAACUGAACUGACUGUCUACAGUCACGUUUUAUGAUCAAAAUUAGUCAGACUGUUCAGAUAUAUGUGUAUUUGCCAAAGCUAUAUUUGCAAUUCAUGAUUAGGAUUGUGGCUUCCUAUUCGGACUGGUCACUUGUCAGUCUGUGUCAUUUUCUUGGGGAACUGAAGGUGACCAGUUCUAGAUCUGCUGUAGCUAUAAAAUGUUCUACGAUGCCAUAUGGAUGCUGUAGCUAGAUCCCUGCAGUGAGCAAGGAGCUGGCCUCUAAGGUCCUUUCCAACCCUAAAAUUCUUUGAGUCUAAGAAUCUCUUAUAUGUUUAUAGCAAAAUUAUAAAUAAAAGAUAAUAAAAUAUACAGAUGAUUAAUGA